rnacentral:snRNA from 1 species
UGACUGUAAUGGCUUUGACUGAAAUUAAUGAAGGCUUCUAAAAAGUGAAAAGUGUUCACCCAGGGCGAGGCUCAGCCAUUGCACUCCGGUUGUGCUGACCCCUGCGAAUUCCCAAAAUGUGGGAAUCUCGACUGCAUAAUUUGUGGUAGUGGGGGACUGCGUUCGCGCUCUCCCCUG